UGGGGCGUGGCCAAGUGGUAAGGCAUCGGGUUUUGGUCCCGCUAUUCGGAGGUUCGAAUCCUUCCGUCCCAGAACAG
rnacentral:tRNA from 1 species